UGGGGAAUAUUGCACAAUGGAGGGAACUCUGAUGCAGCGACGCCGCGUGAACGAAGAAGGCUUUCGAGUCGUAAAGUUCUUUUAUAUGGGAAGAUAAUGACGGUACCAUAAGAAAAAGCCCCGGCUAACUACGUGCCAGCAGCCGCGGUAAUACGUAGGGGGCUAGCGUUGUCCGGAAUCACUGGGCGUAAAGGGUUCGCAGGCGGAAAUGCAAGUCAGGUGUAAAAGGCAGUAGCUUAACUACUGUAAGCAUUUGAAACUGCAUAUCUUGAGAAGAGUAGAAGUAAGUGGAAUUUUUAGUGUAGCGGUGAAAUGCGUAGAUAUUAAAAAGAAUACCGGUGGCGAAGGCGACUGACUGGGCUCAUACUGACGCUGAGGAACGAAAGCGUGGGUAGCAAACAGG
rnacentral:rRNA from 1 species